rnacentral:rRNA from 1 species
AGAGAGAGACAUGCGCGCAUAUCAAUAAGCGGAGGAAAAGAAACUAACAAGGAUUCCCCUAGUAACGGCGAGUGAAGCGGGAAGAGCUCAAAUUUGAAAUCUUAAAGGGUUUCCCUUUACGAAUUGUAGUUUAAAGAAGUGUUUUCUGUUGAGGUUUUGGUAAAAGUUCUUUGGAAUAGGACAUCAUAGAGGGUGAGAAUCCCGUAUUUGACCAUUACUUUCAACUUUGUGAUACACUUUCAAAGAGUCGGAUUGUUUGGGAAUGCAGUCCAAAAUGGGUGGUAAAUUUCAUCUAAAGCUAAAUAUUGGCGAGAGACCGAUAGCGAACAAGUACCGUGAGGGAAAGAUGAAAAGAACUUUGAAAAGAGAGUUAAACAGUACGUGAAAUUGUCAAAAGGGAGGCGUUUGACACCAGUGUUGUUUUUCUGAAAAUCAAUUAAAGAACUGUUUAUGCUAAGCUGUUUAGACUUUAUCAGCUAACUGUUUAGUUUUGAGCUUUUCUUUAAUGCACUUUUCAGUUAACAAGUCAACAUCAAUUUCUUUUGCUGUAAAAAAGCUUGAGGAAGGUGGCUUGAGAUUCGUCUUAAGUGUUUAUAGCCUCUUGCCUAUGCAGUCGGAGAGAUUGAGGUCUGCAGCGUAGAUCCUUCGGGGCUAAAUGCAUUUGUGCUAAGUUAUAGCAUUUUAUAGACAACUUGUUGACUAUGAUUUGUCUUGUAGCUUACUCGCUUAUGUUAUUUUACCUACGCUUAGGAUGUUGAGCGCAUGUCUCUCUCU